rnacentral:rRNA from 1 species
GACGAACGCUGGCGGCGUGCUUAACACAUGCAAGUCGAACGAAGUGGCGAACGGGUGAGUAACGCGUAAUCAACCUGCCCUUCAGGGGGGGACAACAGUUGGAAACGACUGCUAAUACCGCAUACUGAAGGGGGGGAUGGCGUUUGAUUAGCUAGUUGGGGGGGUAACGGCCCACCAAGGCGAUGAUCAGUAGCGGGUCUGAGAGGAUGAUCGGCCACAUUGGGACUGAGACACGGCCCAGACUCCUACGGGAGGCAGCAGGGGGGAAUCUUCGGCAAUGGACGCAAGUCUGACGCAGCAACGCCGCGUGAGUGAAGAAGGUUUUCGGGUCGUAAAGCUCUGUUAUUAGGGAAGCGGUAUCUAACCAGAAAGCCACGGCUAACUACGUGCCAGCAGCCGCGGUAAUUC